rnacentral:ncRNA from 1 species
GCGUUCCCUUUGCUAGCUUGGAGGGACCCGACGAGACGCGCCGUACCGGGACGAAGGCAAAGACGACGCACC